UGCAUGCAUAUUUAAUAUAUGACGUCACCCACACAGAGUGAGAGCUCGAAGUUUUCUUUGAAAGUUUGAUGGAAAAUGUACAGAGACUUGUCGCAGUUAAUGCAGUACCAAAUGCUUGCUUUCUUGGAGUAUGUGCUUGAAACAAGAAUGUCCUGGAGAAAACAGACCACCACAAGAGAAGGGAUUGAGAAGGAGGGCUUCCUGUUGAGAGAUCAUGGGGUGCCUUGAGGUUCCAGUCUUGAUGUUCUGCCCCUUACCUGAAAGCGAUGGCCUCUUGUGCCUGACAUAUUAGGAGCAAAGCA
rnacentral:lncRNA from 1 species